rnacentral:rRNA from 3 species
GGUUAAGCGACUAAGCGUACACGGUGGAUGCCCUGGCAGUCAGAGGCGAUGAAGGACGUGCUAAUCUGCGAUAAGCGUCGGUAAGGUGAUAUGAACCGUUAUAACCGGCGAUUUCCGAAUGGGGAAACCCAGUGUGUUUCGACACACUAUCAUUAACUGAAUCCAUAGGUUAAUGAGGCGAACCGGGGGAACUGAAACAUCUAAGUACCCCGAGGAAAAGAAAUCAACCGAGAUUCCCCCAGUAGCGGCGAGCGAACGGGGAGCAGCCCAGAGCCUGAAUCAGUGUGUGUGUUAGUGGAAGCGUCUGGAAAGGCGUGCGAUACAGGGUGACAGCCCCGUACACAAAAAUGCACAUAUUGUGAGCUCGAUGAGUAGGGCGGGACACGUGGUAUCCUGUCUGAAUAUGGGGGGACCAUCCUCCAAGGCUAAAUACUCCUGACUGACCGAUAGUGAACCAGUACCGUGAGGGAAAGGCGAAAAGAACCCCGGCGAGGGGAGUGAAAAAGAACCUGAAACCGUGUACGUACAAGCAGUGGGAGCACGCUUAGGCGUGUGACUGCGUACCUUUUGUAUAAUGGGUCAGCGACUUAUAUUCUGUAGCAAGGUUAACCGAAUAGGGGAGCCGAAGGGAAACCGAGUCUUAACUGGGCGUUAAGUUGCAGGGUAUAGACCCGAAACCCGGUGAUCUAGCCAUGGGCAGGUUGAAGGUUGGGUAACACUAACUGGAGGACCGAACCGACUAAUGUUGAAAAAUUAGCGGAUGACUUGUGGCUGGGGGUGAAAGGCCAAUCAAACCGGGAGAUAGCUGGUUCUCCCCGAAAGCUAUUUAGGUAGCGCCUCGUGAAUUCAUCUCCGGGGGUAGAGCACUGUUUCGGCAAGGGGGUCAUCCCGACUUACCAACCCGAUGCAAACUGCGAAUACCGGAGAAUGUUAUCACGGGAGACACACGGCGGGUGCUAACGUCCGUCGUGAAGAGGGAAACAACCCAGACCGCCAGCUAAGGUCCCAAAGUCAUGGUUAAGUGGGAAACGAUGUGGGAAGGCCCAGACAGCCAGGAUGUUGGCUUAGAAGCAGCCAUCAUUUAAAGAAAGCGUAAUAGCUCACUGGUCGAGUCGGCCUGCGCGGAAGAUGUAACGGGGCUAAACCAUGCACCGAAGCUGCGGCAGCGACGCUUAUGCGUUGUUGGGUAGGGGAGCGUUCUGUAAGCCUGUGAAGGUGUGCUGUGAGGCAUGCUGGAGGUAUCAGAAGUGCGAAUGCUGACAUAAGUAACGAUAAAGCGGGUGAAAAGCCCGCUCGCCGGAAGACCAAGGGUUCCUGUCCAACGUUAAUCGGGGCAGGGUGAGUCGACCCCUAAGGCGAGGCCGAAAGGCGUAGUCGAUGGGAAACAGGUUAAUAUUCCUGUACUUGGUGUUACUGCGAAGGGGGGACGGAGAAGGCUAUGUUGGCCGGGCGACGGUUGUCCCGGUUUAAGCGUGUAGGCUGGUUUUCCAGGCAAAUCCGGAAAAUCAAGGCUGAGGCGUGAUGACGAGGCACUACGGUGCUGAAGCAACAAAUGCCCUGCUUCCAGGAAAAGCCUCUAAGCAUCAGGUAACAUCAAAUCGUACCCCAAACCGACACAGGUGGUCAGGUAGAGAAUACCAAGGCGCUUGAGAGAACUCGGGUGAAGGAACUAGGCAAAAUGGUGCCGUAACUUCGGGAGAAGGCACGCUGAUAUGUAGGUGAAGUCCCUUGCGGAUGGAGCUGAAAUCAGUCGAAGAUACCAGCUGGCUGCAACUGUUUAUUAAAAACACAGCACUGUGCAAACACGAAAGUGGACGUAUACGGUGUGACGCCUGCCCGGUGCCGGAAGGUUAAUUGAUGGGGUCAGCGCAAGCGAAGCUCUUGAUCGAAGCCCCGGUAAACGGCGGCCGUAACUAUAACGGUCCUAAGGUAGCGAAAUUCCUUGUCGGGUAAGUUCCGACCUGCACGAAUGGCGUAAUGAUGGCCAGGCUGUCUCCACCCGAGACUCAGUGAAAUUGAACUCGCUGUGAAGAUGCAGUGUACCCGCGGCAAGACGGAAAGACCCCGUGAACCUUUACUAUAGCUUGACACUGAACAUUGAGCCUUGAUGUGUAGGAUAGGUGGGAGGCUUUGAAGUGUGGACGCCAGUCUGCAUGGAGCCGACCUUGAAAUACCACCCUUUAAUGUUUGAUGUUCUAACGUGGACCCGUGAUCCGGGUUGCGGACAGUGUCUGGUGGGUAGUUUGACUGGGGCGGUCUCCUCCUAAAGAGUAACGGAGGAGCACGAAGGUUGGCUAAUCCUGGUCGGACAUCAGGAGGUUAGUGCAAUGGCAUAAGCCAGCUUGACUGCGAGCGUGACGGCGCGAGCAGGUGCGAAAGCAGGUCAUAGUGAUCCGGUGGUUCUGAAUGGAAGGGCCAUCGCUCAACGGAUAAAAGGUACUCCGGGGAUAACAGGCUGAUACCGCCCAAGAGUUCAUAUCGACGGCGGUGUUUGGCACCUCGAUGUCGGCUCAUCACAUCCUGGGGCUGAAGUAGGUCCCAAGGGUAUGGCUGUUCGCCAUUUAAAGUGGUACGCGAGCUGGGUUUAGAACGUCGUGAGACAGUUCGGUCCCUAUCUGCCGUGGGCGCUGGAGAACUGAGGGGGGCUGCUCCUAGUACGAGAGGACCGGAGUGGACGCAUCACUGGUGUUCGGGUUGUCAUGCCAAUGGCACUGCCCGGUAGCUAAAUGCGGAAGAGAUAAGUGCUGAAAGCAUCUAAGCACGAAACUUGCCCCGAGAUGAGUUCUCCCUGACCCUUUAAGGGUCCUGAAGGAACGUUGAAGACGACGACGUUGAUAGGCCGGGUGUGUAAGCGCAGCGAUGCGUUGAGCUAACCGGUACUAAUGAACCGUGAGGCUUAACCUU